rnacentral:rRNA from 1 species
GAUGAACGCUGGCGGCGUGCCUAAUACAUGCAAGUCGAGCGAACGGACGAGAAGCUUGCUUCUCUGCUGUUAGCGGCGGACGGGUGAGUAACACGUGGAUAACCUACCUAUAAGACUGGGAUAACUUCGUGAAACCGGAGCUAAUACUAGCUAAUACUUUGUACCGCAUGGAUCAAAAGUGCUAGGCAGUCUUGCUGUCACUUAUAGAUGGAUCCGCGCUGCAUUAGCUAGUUGGUAAGGUAACGGCUUACCAAGGCAACGAUGCAUAGCUGACCUGAGAGGAUGAUCAGCCACACUGGAACUGAGACACGGUCCAGACUCCUACGGGAGGCAGCAGUGGGGAAUAUUCGACAAUGGGCGAAAGCCUGAUGGAGCAACGCCGCGUGAGUGAAGAAGGUCUUCGGGUCGUAAAACUCUUUUAUUAGGGAAGAAAAGCUGUGGAAUUAAAUGUGCACAUCUUGACGGUACCUAAUGAGAAAGCAACGGCUAACUACGUG